rnacentral:rRNA from 1 species
UACGGAGGGGGCUAGCGUUGUUCGGAAUUACUGGGCAUAAAGCGCACGUAGGCGGACCGGAAAGUUGGGGGUGAAAUCCCGGGGCUCAACCUCGGAACUGCCUUCAAAACUACUGGUCUGGAGUUCGAGAGAGGUGAGUGGAAUUCCGAGUGUAGAGGUGAAAUUCGUAGAUAUUCGGAGGAACACCAGUGGCGAAGGCGGCUCACUGGCUCGAUACUGACGCUGAGGUGCGAAAGCGUGGGGAGCAAACAGG